GACGAACGCUGGCGGCGUGCUUAACACAUGCAAGUCGAACGGAAAGGCCCUGCUUUUGUGGGGUGCUCGAGUGGCGAACGGGUGAGUAACACGUGAGUAACCUGCCCCUGACUUUGGGAUAACUUCAGGAAACUGGGGCUCAUACCGGAUAGGAGCUCUUGCUGCUUGGUGGGGGUUGGAAAGUUUCGGCGGUUGGGGAUGGAAUCGCGCCUCAUCAGCUUGUUGGUGUGGUAGUGGCUUACCAAGGCUUUGACCGGUAGCCGACCUGCGCGGGUGACCGGCCACACUGGACCUGAGAUGCGGCCCAGACUCGUACGGGAGGCAGCAGAGGGGAAGAUUGCACAAUAGGCGGAGGCCUGGUGCGGCAAAGCAGCGUGCGGGAUGACGGCCUUCGGGUUGUAAACCGCUUUCGCCUGUGACGAGGCGUGAGUGACGGUAAUGGGUAAAGAAGCACCGGCUAACUACGUG
rnacentral:rRNA from 1 species